UGUCCUCUCCACAGUCCCAGAAUACACUGUCUCUAAACAUGGGAUGGAGCUGGAUUUUUCUCUUGCUCCUGUCAGUAACUGCAGGUGUGCACUCCCAAGUUCAGCUGCAACAAUCUGGAGCUGAGCUGGUGAGGCCUGGGGCUUCAGUGAAGUUGUCUUGCAUAGCUUCUGGCUACACCUUCACUGACUAUACUAUGAGCUGGGUGAAGCAGAUUCCUGGACAGGGCCUGGAAUGGAUUGGAUGGAUUUUACCUUACUAUGAUCAAACUAAGUUAAAUGAGAAGUUCAAAGGCAAGGCCACCUUGACUGCAGACAAAUCCUCCAACACAGCCUACAUGGAGCUCAGCAGUCUGACAUCUGAGGACUCUGCCGUCUAUUACUGUGCACAGUAUUGCAACCACAUCCUGAGUGUGUCAGAAACCCUGGAGGAGAAGCAAGCUGCCGUAGGACUCAGAUUACUCAGAGAAGAUUAG